GUGUCAGCCGCCGCGGUAAUACGGAGGGUGCAAGCGUUAUCCGGAAUCACUGGGUUUAAAGGGUGCGUAGGCGGAAAAUUAAGUCAGUGGUGAAAGCCUGUCGCUUAACGAUAGAACUGCCAUUGAUACUGAUUUUCUUGAAUUGGGUUGAGGUUAGCGGAAUGUGACAUGUAGCGGUGAAAUGCAUAGAUAUGUCAUGGAACACCAAUUGCGAAGGCAGCUAGCUGGGCCUUGAUUGACGCUGAGGCACGAAAGCGUGGGUAGCGAACAGGAUUAGAAACCCCUGUAGUCC
rnacentral:rRNA from 1 species